UACAGAGACUGCAAGCGUUAUUCGGAUUCACUGGGCGUAAAGGGCGCGCAGGCGGCUUUGUUUGUCAGGCGUGAAAGCCCCGGGCUUAACCUGGGAACUGCGUUUGAUACGGCAGGGCUAGAGUUCGGGAGAGGAGAGUGGAAUUCCCAGUGUAGAGGUGAAAUUCGUAGAUAUUCGGAAGAACACCAGUGGCGAAGGCGGCUCACUGGACCGGUAUUGACGCUGAGGUGCGAAAGCGUGGGGAGCAAACAGG
rnacentral:rRNA from 1 species